GAUGAACGCUGGCGGCGUGCCUAAUACAUGCGAGUCGAGCGAACGGACGAGAAGCUUGCGUCUCUGAUGUUAGCGGCGGACGGGUGAGUAACACGUGGAUAACCUACCUAUAAGACUGGGAUAACUUCGGGAAACCGGAGCUAAUACCGGAUAAUAUUUUGAACCGCAUGGUUCAAAAGUGAAAGACGGUCUUGCUGUCACUUAUAGAUGGAUCCGCGCUGCAUUAGCUAGUUGGUAAGGUAACGGCUUACCAAGGCAACGAUGCAUAGCCGACCUGAGAGGGUGAUCGGCCACACUGGAACUGAGACACGGUCCAGACUCCUACGGGAGGCAGCAGUAGGGAAUCUUCCGCAAUGGGCGAAAGCCUGACGGAGCAACGCCGCGUGAGUGAUGAAGGUCUUCGGAUCGUAAAACUCUGUUAUUAGGGAAGAACAUAUGUGUAAGUAACUGUGCACAUCUUGACGGUACCUAAUCAGAAAGCCACGGCUAACUACGUG
rnacentral:rRNA from 1 species